rnacentral:rRNA from 11 species
UCAAGUUUCUAAGAGCAAACGGUGGAUGCCUUGGCAUCUGGAGCCGAAGAAGGACGUAGCAAUCUGCGAUAAGCCUCGGGGAGCUGAUAAGCGAGCUUUGAUCCGAGGAUGUCCGAAUGGGGAAACCCCGCUGGGAGCUUCGUGCUACCCAGUGACUCCCGCCUGAAUAUAUAGGGCGGGUAGAGGGAACGUGGGGAAGUGAAACAUCUCAGUACCCACAGGAAGAGAAAACAACAGUGAUUCCGGUAGUAGUGGCGAGCGAAACCGGAACAGGCCAAACCGAUCAUGUGUGAUAGCCGGCGGGCGUUGCAUGGUCGGGGUUGUGGGACUCUUACGC